rnacentral:rRNA from 1 species
UUGGAGGGCAAGUCUGGUGCCAGCAGCCGCGGUAAUUCCAGCUCCAAUAGCGUAUAUUAAAGUUGUUGCAGUUAAAAAGCUCGUAGUUGAACUUCGGGGUCUACCCAUUGGUCAGGCUUAAUUGUCUGCACUGGUGAGAUGGAUCUCUACCUUCUGAGGAACUUUCAUGCCAUUUAUUUAGUGUGAUGGGAAAUCAGGACUGUUACUUUGAAAAAAUUAGAGUGUUUAAAGCAGACUAUCGUCUGAAUACAUUAGCAUGGAAUAAUGAAAUAGGACGGACUGAUUCUAUUUCGUUGGUUUCUAGGAUCACCGUAAUGAUUAAUAGGGAUAGUUGGGGGCAUUAGUAUUCAAUUGUCAGAGGUGAAAUUCUUGGAUUUAUUGAAGACUAACUACUGCGAAGGCAUUUGCCAAGGAUGUUUUCAUUAAUCAAGAACGAAAGUUAGGGGAUCGAAGACGAUCAGAUACCGUCGUAGUCUUAACCAUAAACUAUGCCGACUAGGGAUCGGACGAAGUUAAUUUUAUAAUGACGCGUUCGGCGCCUUACGGGAAAC